CCAGACUCCUACGGGAGGCAGCAGUGAGGAAUAUUGGUCAAUGGGCGAGAGCCUGAACCAGCCAAGUCGCGUGAGGGAAGACGGUCCUAUGGAUUGUAAACCUCUUUUGCCGGGGAGCAAAAAGCGGUACGUGUACCGCAUCGAGAGUACCCGGAGAAAAAGCAUCGGCUAACUCCGUGCCAGCAGCCGCGGUAAUACGGAGGAUGCGAGCGUUAUCCGGAUUUACUGGGUGUAAAGGGCGUGUAGGCGGGCUUGUAAGUCAGAAGUGAAAUCUGGGGGCUUAACCCCCAAACUGCUUUUGAAACUGCGGGUCUUGAGUGAUGGAGAGGCAGGCGGAAUUCCCAGUGUAGCGGUGAAAUGCGUAGAUAUUGGGAGGAACACCAGUGGCGAAGGCGGCCUGCUGGACAUUAACUGACGCUGAGGCGCGAAAGCGUGGGGAGCAAACAGGAUUAGAUACCCGCGUA
rnacentral:rRNA from 1 species